GUCCUGGGAUAGCUCAGUCGGCAGAGCGUGAGAAUCUUAAUCUGCAGGUUGUGGGUUCGAGCCCUACGUUGGACA